rnacentral:rRNA from 1 species
GACGAACGCUGGCGGCGUGCUUAACACAUGCAAGUCGAACGGAAAGGCCCUGCUUUUGUUGGGUGCUCGAGUGGCGAACGGGUGAGUAACACGUGAGUAACCUGCCCUUGACUUUGGGAUAACUUCAGGAAACUGGGGCUAAUACCGGAUAGGAGCUCCUGCUGCAUGGUGGGGGUUGGAAAGUUUCGGCGGUUGGGGAUGGACUCGCGGCUUAUCAGCUUGUUGGUGGGGUAGUGGCUUACCAAGGCUUUGACGGGUAGCCGGCCUGAGAGGGUGACCGGCCACAUUGGGACUGAGAUAGGGCCCAGAAUCCUACGGGAGGCAGCAGGGGGGAAUAUUGCACAAUGGGCGGAAGCCUGAUGCAGCAACGCCGCGUGCGGGAUGCCGGCCUUCGGGGUGUAAACCGCUUUCGCCUGUGACGAAGCGUGAGUGACGGUAAUGGGUAAAGAAGCACCGGCUAACUACGUG